AUUGAACGCUGGCGGCAGGCCUAACACAUGCAAGUCGAGCGGGUAGCACAAGAGAGCUUGCUCUCUGGGUGACGAGCGGCGGACGGGUGAGUAAUGUCUGGGAAACUGCCUGAUGGAGGGGGAUAACUACUGGAAACGGUAGCUAAUACCGCAUAAACGUCUUCGGACCAAAGUGGGGGACCUUCGGGCCUCACGCCAUCAGAUGUGCCCAGAUGGGANAGCUAGUAGGUGGGGUAAUGGCUCACCUAGGCGACGAUCCCUAGCUGGUCUGAGAGGAUGACCAGCCACACUGGAACUGAGACACGGUCCAGACUCCUACGGGAGGCAGCAGU
rnacentral:rRNA from 1 species